rnacentral:rRNA from 1 species
GAACCGCAUGGUUCAGACAUAAAAGGUGGCUUCGGCUACCACUUACAGAUGGACCCGCGGCGCAUUAGCUAGUUGGUGAGGUAACGGCUCACCAAGGCGACGAUGCGUAGCCGACCUGAGAGGGUGAUCGGCCACACUGGGACUGAGACACGGCCCAGACUCCUACGGGAGGCAGCAGUAGGGAAUCUUCCGCAAUGGACGAAAGUCUGACGGAGCAACGCCGCGUGAGUGAUGAAGGUUUUCGGAUCGUAAAGCUCUGUUGUUAGGGAAGAACAAGUGCCGUUCAAAUAGGGCGGCACCUUGACGGUACCUAACCAGAAAGCCACGGCUAACUACGUGCCAGCAGCCGCGGUAAUACGUAGGUGGCAAGCGUUGUCCGGAAUUAUUGGGCGUAAAGGGCUCGCAGGCGGUUUCUUAAGUCUGAUGUGAAAGCCCCCGGCUCAACCGGGGAGGGUCAUUGGAAACUGGGGAACUUGAGUGCAGAAGAGGAGAGUGGAAUUCCACGUGUAGCGGUGAAAUGCGUAGAGAUGUGGAGGAACACCAGUGGC